GACGAACGCUGGCGGCGUGCCUAAUACAUGCAAGUCGAGCGGACGAAUCGAAAGCUUGCUUUUGAUUCGUUAGCGGCGGACGGGUGAGUAACACGUGGGCAACCUACCCUGUAGACGGGGAUAACACCGAGAAAUCGGUGCUAAUACCGGAUAACACGAAAUGUCGCAUGACGUUUCGUUGAAAGACGGCGCAAGCUGCCGCUACAGGAUGGGCCCGCGGCGCAUUAGCUAGUUGGUGAGGUAACGGCUCACCAAGGCGACGAUACGUAGCCGACCUGAGAGGGUGAUCGGCCACACUGGGACUGAGACACGGCCCAGACUCCUACGGGAGGCAGCAGUAGGGAAUCUUCCGCAAUGGACGAAAGUCUGACGGAGCAACGCCGCGUGAGCGAAGAAGGCCUUCGGGUCGUAAAGCUCUGUUGUUAGGGAAGAACAAGUAACGCAGUAACUGGCGUUACCGUGACGGUACCUAACGAGAAAGCCACGGCUAACUACGUG
rnacentral:rRNA from 1 species